GUCGCUGUAAUACGGAAAAGUUACUACGCUGCUGUGGGACUUGUGCUCGCUCCGCCGGGAGGCCGAGGGCGUCUUUAGUUCGUUAACAGAGGAGCAGAAGGAGGCGGGUGGAAUUUAGGAGGUCCCAGCAGGCAGCUGAUUGUUUAGAUGGAGAGACCACAGGGGAGAGUUACCCGUUGCUGUGGGAGCAAUGAGGAGUAAUGGAGGAAAGGAGAGGAACCAAGACCAGGUCUGUGCCUUGUGACCCAGAGGCAGCCUUGGGAGGGG
rnacentral:lncRNA from 1 species